AAACUUCUGCCAUGGCCACAGCUUUCGGCAGUUACUGUUAUUACUUCUUAGUAUUAGACUAUUUCGUUGAUGAAAGUUCUUGGCUUCUUUCACUAAUUUCAACUCUUGAGAAAAUUGACAAGGUAGGCUGCCUGCCAUAUGAAGAGCUCUGAUAAGGGUGUCAUGUCAGCCAUUGGUAUGAAAGAACCUGAUAAGGUAGAGUUAGACAAAGCUUUGGUCUGUGUGAACAACAACUAGGAGUAAACUCUUGAAGACUUAAGAGUUGGACAAAGCUUUGGGCUAUGGCCUGAUCGAGAGAUAAAAAAAGUCUAUUAUCAACAUCCUAGCUUGUUGAAUGUUGAGUUGUUUGAACCUGCAAUGGCGUUGUUCGGUGUGUUUCAUUGUUGCUGUACCUUGCAAGCCCUGACUGUCAUGAUACGAUAUUGGUAAUAUAUUGCCUUGUGGUGAGAUGAAACUCUGAAAUGAGCAGUGUGGUGAGGAUUCCAUGAGUGGGAGAUCGUUCAUGAUACGAUAUUGGUAAUAUAUUGCCGUUACUAUGCAGGAGCCAAGAACUGGGUACUCCAGGAGACCAGGAUUGUGUCCUCCCCAGAGCAUGAUAGUUGCAUGCCUGUGCACUGCAUGAAAGCUCGGUUGAAGGCCGGAAUGGGAGUCUGGAUCUCUGGUCCAUGUUUGCUACACUGACACAGUGGACAACUCUUGAUAAAUCAUCAUCAUACCGAUACCGUGCAGUUGCCACAAAGGAUCGGUGGUUGAGAAGAGAAAGCAGCAUGACUUCAAGAAAACAAUUAGGCAAACCCAUGUGAAGGAGAUGAAAUUAGAUCAAGAACUGAGGGCCUGUUUAAAUCCCUUCAAAAUUCCAAAAGUUUACAAGAUUCUCGGUCAUAACCGAAUCUUUGGACGUAUACAUAAAACAUUAAAUAUAGAUAAAAAAUAACUAAUUGCAUAGUUUAUCUUUAAAUCGUGAGACAAAGCUUUUGAGCCUAGUUAGUCUAUGAUUGGACACUAAUUACCAAAUACAAAUGAAAGUGCUAUAGUAUCCAAAUUCCAAAAGUUUUUGGAUCUAAACACGCCUGAGUAGGCUUAGGGUAUAAAGCAGAGCCAUCGGCGGACUCGGGGGCUCAAUUUUUUUAACAGUUUUCUUUUUAGCAAAAGACUCCAUGUAUUUGGUAUUUUUCUAUAUUUAUUUUAUGAAUCUUUGCUUUUCAGCACUUUGAAUUAAUAUUGAAUUAUCAAUCUUAGAUAUAUCUAUUACUGUACUGGAUUGAGCGAGAAAAAAAUUUUUAGCUCCCAUGUUAUUUAACCUCCUCUUGGUCCGUUUUUGGGUCCGCCACUAAGCAGAGCUAUUUGCUCUAAGCUCCUCUAAGAAUUUGAUGCCGUGGCUGUCAGGAUAGCUGGAUGCCUAUGUUGCAUUUUCCACUUCUGCCGGUGUAGGCUGUAGAAGCUGGAAAAGUCUAUUCUGGCAACGAGUCCUAUUACUUAGACUUUCUGCUCUUUUUUUUCUGUCUCCUCCAUAACUAAGGUCUGGUUUAGAUCAAAGAGCUUUUAGAUUUUGAUACUAUAGCACUUCCGUUUGUAUUUCAUAAUUAUUGUUCAAUCAUAGACUAACUAGUAGGCUCAAAAAAUUCAUCUCACAAAUUACAGACAAAUUGUGUAAUUAGUUUUUUUAUCUAUAUUUAAUGCUACAUGCAUGUACCGCAAGAUUUGAUGUGACGACGAAUUUUGAAAAGUUUUUGGAUUUUGGGGAAUCUUGAAAAGUCUGAUAUCAAGUUCCAUGAAGUUGACAUGGUUGUCUACCUCUUGUGGUGUUACGUGUAAGCUGCUGGUCCAAAAGAAUUUGGUCACUGAGGAGACAAAUUGACAGAAAUCACUCUCGGUGGACUGUUCAAGCGACUAAACGUUGAAGAUACUGUAGUUCAUAGUGACAAGCGAUAGCAGGAGAUGCAGACCAGAAGUAUUAUUUCCCAAGUCAACUAUAUCACUCCUAUCAUGCCGACAACACUCAUUAAAGCUAAGUAGUAUUGCUUGACUCGUUGACAACACUCAUUAAAGCUAACUAGUAGUAUUGCUUGAGAAGUUGACACCACUCAUGUGGCUGUGUACAUCUCUUGAUGUAAAGACCGGAUAUUUGUUUAUCCAUUAUCUAAAAAAAAGUUGACACCACUCAUUAUGUAUGAUGUGCUUCACUAUUUUUCUACCCGGCAAGCCCUAACUGUCAUUCCUGUGAGGCUGUGAUUGAUGUUUGUACCGCAAACCUGCACUUGAAAAUCUCUGAACAAUCGCUGUGAAUUUUGUGCUGCCUAUCAGCAAAAUAAGUACUCCCUCUGUUCCAUAGUUGUAAGUUGUUCUAACUUUUCUAGUAUAUGGUUUUUAUUAUACAUCUAGAUAUAUAUUAGAUACAUAAUAAAAAGGGAAAAAGUCUAGAUAACCCCCUGGAGCUUUAAUGCCUGGAAUACUUAAUCCCACCACCUCCAAAACCGGUUUUCCUAGUCCUUUAUACUUUCAAACCGGUUUAUUUCACCCCCUAGGCGGUAUUGGAGGCUGGUUUUGGCCGACGUGGCGCACAGCGUGGCAGUCGUGGCCACCGUGGCCUCCGGUCGUGUCCCAGGCCCAUCUGUCAAGUGGCGUUUGGGCUCAAAUACUCCCUCCUCGGCCCGAAUCCCCUCCUUUCCUGUCUCUCUCUCUCUCUCACUCUGUCUCUUCAUCUCCCUCGCGACUCCUCGGUGUCUCCUCACACUCCGGCGAAGCGGGUGGCGUGGUGAUGAUCCGGAGCACGCCACGGUGACCGACAUCUGCACGUCGACCAGGUCGGUACCCUAUGCUCGUUUACAGAAGUUGAGUUUGCAUUUGCGUUGUAGAUUGUAGAGCUAUGGUUUGGGGAGGGGGGGAAUUGGGGUUUUCUGGGUGGCGGCGAUUUAGGGUGAAGUGUUGUCGUAGAGGUGUUCUGGGCGUAGUGGAUGGGCAUGGUGUGACUAUUUUUGUUGAUGUUCAUCCUUUUGGUUGCUGCGAUUGUUAGCUAGGGUUUAAAAAAAUUCGAUUUUCAAGUGGUUGUGUUCAUCUGAUGGCUUGUAUGUUGAUGGCAACAGGAUGGAUGAACACAUUUGCAUAAGUUUCCACUUUGGUGGUACAUUUACUAAGGUGGGAGGCGCUCUGUUCUAUGUUGGAGGAGACAAUGCUGAGUCAUGGAUCGAUGUGGACAAGCUUUCUUAUUUUGAGAUCAAGGGCCACCUAGCUGAUCACUACAAUUCACCAAGUGUGUUCAGGUUGUAUUGGGUGAAGCCUGGGAUGCAUUUGACCAAUGGACUUGUCUUGUUGGAUGAUGAUGCUUCCUGCAGGAUCAUGGCUGAGCAACAUGAAGGUGGACUGUGUGUUGACAUGUAUGUGGAGGAGGUGGCUUAUGAGAUCAAUGCAGAUGAUCAGGAAAUUUGGGUUGGUCAUGAUGAGGUAGGAGAUGAAGCCAAGGCUGAAGGAAUGGUUGGUGAUGAUGAGAGGGCAGAUGAAGAGAAUGAUGAUCCUAGCAGUGGUGAUGAUGUGCAAGGAAUUAGAGGAAAUUAUGAAGAUAUACCUGCAAUGACAGAUGGAGAAGAGGAUUCUGUGCAUGAGUUAUCUGAUGAGUCAUCAGAUGAAGAGUACAAGCAGCCAACAGAGGAUGAUAGCUCUGAAGAAGAUGAUGAGGCAAUUGAACUGAGAAAUUAUGCAAGACAAAUUAAGAGAGACAUCAGGGCAAAGAAGUUAGGUAUUCAUGGCACUGCAAUUGGGGACAUUAGACCAGAGGACAUAGUUCAUGAAGUACCAAGUUUAGAUGAACCUGGUAGUCCUGUACUUGAUUCAAGUGAUGAAUAUUCCUAUGAGGAGAAUAGUGAUGGGGAAACAGAAAGAUGGAAGUCAUUGGAGAACAGGUAUGACAGUAAGGAUGAGCUCCCUGUUUUCUCACCUGGCAUGGCAUUUAGAGACAGCAGGCAGUUCAAGAAGGCCUUGGUUAAGUAUGGACUGAGAGCCCAUAAAUCACUAAAAUUUCCCAAAGAUGAGAAGGACAAGGUUAAGGCUACAUGUGACUGGUUUGGCAGCAAUUGGAUGAUAUAUGGAUCCAAGACUAGUAGAUCAAGAUGGUUCAAGGUAGUCACAUUUGUAGAUGAGCAUACUUGCCCACCUAGGAGAGACAACAAACUAGUGACUUCAACUGUUAUUGCUAAACACUAUUACAACCGAUCAAGGACAACCCCACUUGGAGUGUUGGACUCAUGAAGGCUGCAUGUCUUAGAGAUUUGUUUGCUGAUGUCUCAAUCUCAAAGUGCAAGAGGGCUAAGUCUAUAGUGCUGAAGAAAGCUUUGGAUGCUAUGAAGGGGAAGUACAGCAGAGUGUAUGACUACCAGCUAGAGCUACUUAGGUCCAAUCCUGGGAACACAGUUGUCGUCUAUCUUGACCCUGACAUUGAGGACAAGCAAAUAUUUGAAAGAUUCUAUGUCUGCUUUGAUGCUCUGAAGAAAGGUUUGCUUGCAGGGUGUAGGAAAGUUAUAGGAUUAGAUGGUUGCUGGAGAAGUUGACACCACUCAUGUGGCGGUGUACAUCUCUUGAUGUAGAGACCAGAUAUUUGUUUAUCCAUUAUCUAAAAAAAAAGUUGACACCACUCAUUAUGUAUGAUGUGCUUCACUAUUUUUCUACCUGGCAAGCCCUAACUGUCAUUCCUGUGAGGCUGUGAUUGAUGUUUGUACCGCAAACCUGCACUUGAAAAUCUCUGAACAAUCGCUGUGAAUUUUGUGCUGCCUAUCAGCAAAAUAAGUACUCCCUCUGUUCCAUAGUUGUAAGUUGUUCUAACUUUUCUAGUAUAUGGUUUUUAUUAUACAUCUAGAUAUGUAUUAGAUACAUAAUAAAAACGGAAAAAGUCUAGAUAACCCCCUGGAGCUUUAAUGCCUGGAAUACUUAAUCCCACCACCUCUAAAACCGGUUUUCCUAGUCCUUUAUACUUUCAAAACGGUUUAUUUCACCCCCUAGGCGGUAUUGGAGGCUGGUUUUGGCCGACGUGGCGCACAGCGUGGCAGUCGUGGCCACCGUGGCCUCCGGUCGUGUCCCAAGCCCAUCUGUCAAGUGGCGUUUGGGCUCAAAUACUCCCUCCUCGGCCUGAAUCCCCUCCUUUCCUGUCUCUCUCUCUCUCUCUCACUCUGUCUCUUCAUCUCCCUCGCGACUCCUCGGUGUCUCCUCACACUCCGGCGAAGCGGGUGGCGUGGUGAUGAUCCGGAGCACGCCACGGUGACCGACAUCUGCACGUCGACCAGGUCGGUACCCUAUACUCGUUUACAGAAGUUGAGUUUGCAUUUGCGUUGUAGAUUGUAGAGCUAUGGUUUUGGGGGGGAAUCGGGGUUUUCUGGGUGGCAGCGAUUUAGGGUGAAGUGUUGUCGUAGAGGUGUUCUGGGCGUAGUGGAUGGACAUGGUGUGACUAUUUUUGUUGAUGUUCAUCCUUUUGGUUGCUGCGAUUGUUAGCUAGGGUUUAAAAAAAAUUCGAUUUUUCAAGUGGUUGUGUCAGCCAUUGGUAUGAAAGAACCUGAUAAGGUAGAGUUGGACAAAGCUUUGGUCUGUGUGAACAACAACUAGGAGUAAACUCUUG
rnacentral:lncRNA from 1 species